UUUGAUCCUGGCUCAGGACGAACGCUGGCGGCGUGCUUAACACAUGCAAGUCGAACGGAAAGGCCCUGCUUGCAGUGGUACUCGAGUGGCGAACGGGUGAGUAACACGUGGGUGAUCUGCCCUGCACUUCGGAAUAAGCUUGGGAAACUGGGUCUAAUACCGGAUAGGAACCAUCUUUAGUGUGGUGGUUGGAAAGUUUUUUCGGUGUAGGAUGAGCUCGCGGCCUAUCAGCUUGUUGGUGGGGUAAUGGCCUACCAAGGCGGCGACGGGUAGCCGGCCUGAGAGGGUGUACGGCCACAUUGGGACUGAGAUACGGCCCAGACUCCUACGGGAGGCAGCAGUGGGGAAUAUUGCACAAUGGGCGCAAGCCUGAUGCAGCGACGCCGCGUGGGGGAUGAAGGCCUUCGGGUUGUAAACUCCUUUCGCUAGGGACGAAGCUUUUUGUGACGGUACCUAGAUAAGAAGCACCGGCUAACUACGUGCCAGCAGCCGCGGUAAUACGUAGGGUGCGAGCGUUGUCCGGAAUUACUGGGCGUAAAGGGCUCGUAGGUGGUUUGUCGCGUCGUCUGUGAAAUUCUGGGGCUUAACUCCGGGCGUGCAGGCGAUACGGGCAUAACCUGAGUGCUGUAGGGGUAACUGGAAUUCCUGGUGUAGCGGUGAAAUGCGCAGAUAUCAGGAGGAACACCGAUGGCGAAGGCAGGUUACUGGGCAGUUACUGACGCUGAGGAGCGAAAGCAUGGGUAGCGAACAGGAUUAG
rnacentral:rRNA from 1 species